GCUGCUCUAACGGGGUGCCCUGGCCGGCUUUGCGACCAUGGCUGAGAGGCUUCGAGCCAACCCGCGGAACCUGAUCCGGCUCAUACCGGCGGAGGGAUUAGAAGCGAUCGGACC
rnacentral:ncRNA from 17 species